GAUGAACGCUGGCGGCGUGCCUAAUACAUGCAAGUCGAGCGAACAGAUGAGGAGCUUGCUCCUCUGACGUUAGCGGCGGACGGGUAAGUAACACGUGGAUAACCUACCUAUAAGACUGGGAUAACUUCGGGAAACCGGAGCUAAUACCGGAUAAUAUAUUGAACCGCAUGGUUCAAUAGUGAAAGACGGUUUUGCUGUCACUUAUAGAUGGAUCCGCGCCGCAUUAGCUAGUUGGUAAGGUAACGGCUUACCAAGGCAACGAUGCGUAGCCGACCUGAGAGGGUGAUCGGCCACACUGGAACUGAGACACGGUCCAGACUCCUACGGGAGGCAGCAAUAGGGAAUCUUCCGCAAUGGGCGAAAGCCUGACGGAGCAACGCCGCGUGAGUGAUGAAGGUCUUCGGAUCGUAAAACUCUGUUAUUAGGGAAGAACAAAUGUGUAAGUAACUAUGCACGUCUUGACGGUACCUAAUCAGAAAGCCACGGCUAACUAC
rnacentral:rRNA from 1 species